CACGUAGGGGGCAAGCGUUGUCCGGAAUUAUUGGGCGUAAAGAGCUCGUAGGCGGCUCGGUAAGUCGGGUGCAAAUCCUCAGGCUCAACCUGAGGCUCCACCCGAUACUGCUGUGGCUAGAGUCCGGUAGGGGAGCGUGGAAUUCCUGGUGUAGCGGUGAAAUGCGCAGAUAUCAGGAGGAACACCAGCGGCGAAGGCGGCGCUCUGGGCCGGAACUGACGCUGAGGAGCGAAAGCGUGGGUAGCAACAGGAUUAGGAACCCUUGU
rnacentral:rRNA from 1 species